rnacentral:lncRNA from 13 species
CGACUUCUCUUGAAGUCAGAUAAAUGAAUAUAAAUUUUUAUGUGUGUUAACCAUUAAGCUCCAGUUUGUAACAUUGGUAUCUUUAUUAUUAAUAGUAGAGCAAGAAGCCUGCAGUCUGGAUUUAACAGUUAGGAUGGAAAACCUGGGUGAGAGCACUGGCUUUUGUUAGACUUGUUACAGAAUACUCAGAUUACUUAAUGGAAGUUUUUAGAUACUAGAAGUAUUGUACAUUCAUGACCAAAGCCUGUUUCAUUUAUUACUUUCUUUUUAGCAUCAUUUGAAAAAUGAUUCCAUCAACUGGCAGCAUGUCUCUCAUCAGGCCCUGAAAGCGUUAUUCCCCAUCAGCAUAAGAAAGAAGUGUUGAGAGCUGCUCUUAACCCUUUUGGAGGCCGAAGUCUAAAGGUAAAAGCAAACGCUCAUGUUUGUGUUUCUGAAGGUUUUGAUAUCAUAAUUGUUUGGAAAUGCUGUUUCCUUAUCACAUCUGAACUGAGAUUUCCUGCAGGAGAAAAGGAGGGAUAUGGUAAGAGGAAUCAAAACAUUAUUAGACCUCUUUAAGAGCCACCAGCAUAUCUAGGCAUAAAUUACACAGGUAAGUUACAACUGGUAAACUGCAAUUAUCUAUUUUACUUAAUAUGAAAACAUUGGCGUUGAGAGUCAGUGGGACUUUCAGUAGAAUUUAAUAUUGCUAAGGAUUUAAUGAUUUUUGUCUCACUAUAACUUGAUAGUUUUUAUGAUAGAUAAAGUUUUUUCAAAUUACAGUAAAACAAAUCCUGUAGCUCUUUUCUCAGGCAAGAGUCCCUCAAUGGGAGUUUUGCCUGAGUGAGAACUGAAUGAGGUCUAAAUAAUUAGCAAUUAAAAUAUUCAGUUAUUGUGCUACUGUAUAUAACAAAGCACUGGUGGUAUUAAAAAUUGCUAAUCUCCUCCUUAUUAAAAUGUUAACUGCUAAACAUAAUACAGUUUUGCAUUUUCUAUCAUUCAGUUUUGCAGUUCAUUAGUAGAGGUGAAACGUUUGUGACAAAUAGUCAUUUGAACUUUUAAGGGAUUGACUUUGUUUUCCUGGCAUUUUAGUUAAUAUUUCCAACUGAGUUAAUUUACAAGCAAAAGUUUUUGUGUAAGCCAUGGAUUUUAGGAAAAAAACUUGAUCAUGAGUAACUUCUCAUACGCCAUUCAUGAGUAUUUGCAGAAGGAAGCUGUUGGUAGGCUACUCCUCAGGAGGCAGGGCUGGGCAGUUUAGGUAUCCCAGUUUAUAUACAUU